rnacentral:rRNA from 1 species
UGGGCGUUAAGUUGCAGGGUAUAGACCCGAAACCCGGUGAUCUAGCCAUGGGCAGGUUGAAGGUUGGGUAACACUAACUGGAGGACCGAACCGACUAAUGUUGAAAAAUUAGCGGAUGACCUGUGGCUGGGGGUGAAAGGCCAAUCAAACCGGGAGAUAGCUGGUUCUCCCCGAAAGCUAUUUAGGUAGCGCCUCGUGAAUUCAUCUCCGGGGGUAGAGCACUGUUUCGGCUAGGGGGCCAUCCCGGCUUACCAACCCGAUGCAAACUGCGAAUACCGGAGAAUGUUAUCACGGGAGACACACGGCGGGUGCUAACGUCCGUCGUGAAGAGGGAAACAACCCAGACCGCCAGCUAAGGUCCCAAAGUCAUGGUUAAGUGGGAAACGAUGUGGGAAGGCCCAGACAGCCAGGAUGUUGGCUUAGAAGCAGCCAUCAUUUAAAGAAAGCGUAAUAGCUCACUGGUCGAGUCGGCCUGCGCGGAAGAUGUAACGGGGCUAAACCAUGCACCGAAGCUGCGGCAGCGACGCUUAUG